UACGUAGGGCGCAAGCGUUAUCCGGAUUUACUGGGCGUAAAGGGCGGGUAGGCGGCCACCGCAAGUCAGUUGUGAAAUCUCUGGGCUUAACCCAGAAAGGUCAACUGAUACUGCGGGGCUAGAGUGCAGAAGGGGCAACUGGAAUUCUCGGUGUAGCGGUGAAAUGCGUAGAUAUCGAGAGGAACACCUGCGGCGAAGGCGGGUUGCUGGGCUGACACUGACGCUGAACUGCGAAAGCUAGGGGAGCGAACGGG
rnacentral:rRNA from 1 species